GAUGAAGAACGUAGCGAAAUGCGAUAAGAAAUGUGAAUUGCAGAAUUCAGUGAAUCAUCGAAUCUUUGAACGCACAUUGCGCCCGUCAGUAUUCUGGCGGGCAUGCCUGUUCGAGCGUCAUUACGCCCCUCAAGUCCCCUGUGGACUUGGUGUUGGGGAUCGGCGAGGCUGGUUUUCCAGCACAGCCGUCCCUUAAAUUAAUUGGCGGUCUCGCCGUGGCCCUCCUCUGCGCAGUAGUAAAACACUCGCAACAGGAGCCCGGCGCGGUCCACUGCCGUAAAACCCCCCAACUUUUUAUAGUUGACCUCGAAUCAGGUAGGACUACCCGCUGAACUUAAGCAUAUCAAUAGCGGAGGA
rnacentral:misc_RNA from 1 species